rnacentral:rRNA from 1 species
AGCCUACUAGCUAGUCCCCCAAUCAAAGACAACCAUCCAUAUCAAUAACCCCUAAAACACGUAAUACAUAUUAAACAAAACAUUUUUCCCCUUUAGUAUGGGCGAUAGAAAGAGAAGC